UACGUAGGAGGCGAGCGUUAUCCAGAUUUACUGGGCGUAAAGCGCGUGUAGGCGGCUGGUUAGGUGUGAUGUGAAAUCCUCGGGCUCAACCCGAGAACUGCAUUGCAAACCGGCCUGGCUAGAGUGCAGGAGAGGGAAGCGGAAUUCCAGGUGUAGCGGUGAAAUGCGUAGAUAUCAGGAGGAACACCGGUGGUGUAGACGGCUUUCUGGACCGUAACUGACGCUGAGACACGAAAGCGUGGGUAGCAAACAGG
rnacentral:rRNA from 1 species